UGCCGGGUGAUUUUAUAUUUCUAUUGAAACUUUUCUCAUUGUAUGAAUACAAAAAAUAUUAAAUAAAUGAAAAUUUGCAUGUUGUCAUUGUUAUAAUGCACAAGUCCAACUACGAACUCCAGUUUUAUAUUUGUUAUCCAUGAAUGCCAAAUGUUAUUGAAAGAAUUGCAAACGAAUGAAAUCCUUCGUCUCCAUGAACAGCAAAUUAGGAGUUCUCAGAACCAGCAGUUUGCUAUUCUUUGCUGCACAAACACCCAAAAAACCACUACACACAUGCUCGGGUCAGUCAUUGGUUUGUUAUCCACUGCACGAACCAAGUUAUUAUUAUUUCAAGUGAAUCUCUGUUUAUGUGUUAGGUUUAUUUUUGACUUACUGGCAUGUUUAGUAAAUUUUUUGUGUGUGGUGCUUUGAUAGUUGAAUAAAAGUGACAUCUGAAGACAUCAGAUUUUUUUCCCAAAGAAAUUCUGAGAAUUAUUCAAGUGAGUAUAUUUUUACAAAUGCAAGUAAAAUUAAAAAUUAGUAAGAAUUUAAUAAAAUGUUAAAUUGAUAAAAGUUGUUAUAAAUUUUUAAGUAUCAGGUGAU
rnacentral:lncRNA from 1 species